UACGUAGGGUGCGAGCGUUGUCCGGAAUUAUUGGGCGUAAAGAGCUUGUAGGCGGUUUGUCGCGUCUGCUGUGAAAAUCCGGGGCUCAACCCCGGACUUGCAGUGGGUACGGGCAGACUGGAGUGUGGUAGGGGAGACUGGAAUUCCUGGUGUAGCGGUGGAAUGCGCAGAUAUCGAGAGGAACACCUGCGGCGAAGGCGGGUUGCUGGGCUGAUACUGACGCUGAGGCGCGAAAGCCAGGGGAGCGAACGGG
rnacentral:rRNA from 1 species